rnacentral:rRNA from 1 species
AACCUGCCCAUAAGACUGGGAUAACUCCGGGAAACCGGGGCUAAUACCGGAUAACAUUUUGAACCGCAUGGUUCGAAAUUGAAAGGCGGCUUCGGCUGUCACUUAUGGAUGGACCCGCGUCGCAUUAGCUAGUUGGUGAGGUAACGGCUCACCAAGGCAACGAUGCGUAGCCGACCUGAGAGGGUGAUCGGCCACACUGGGACUGAGACACGGCCCAGACUCCUACGGGAGGCAGCAGUAGGGAAUCUUCCGCAAUGGACGAAAGUCUGACGGAGCAACGCCGCGUGAGUGAUGAAGGCUUUCGGGUCGUAAAACUCUGUUGUUAGGGAAGAACAAGUGCUAGUUGAAUAAGCUGGCACCUUGACGGUACCUAACCAGAAAGCCACGGCUAACUACGUGCCAGCAGCCGCGGUAAUACGUAGGUGGCAAGCGUUAUCCGGAAUUAUUGGGCGUAAAGCGCGCGCAGGUGGUUUCUUAAGUCUGAUGUGAAAGCCCACGGCUCAACCGUGGAGGGUCAUUGGAAACUGGGAGACUUGAGUGCAGAAGAGGAAAGUGGAAUUCCAUGUGUAGCGGUGAAA